UUGGUGACCAGCGGAGGGAUCAUUACCGAGUUUACAACUCCCAAACCCAAUGUGAACGUUACCAAACUGUUGCCUCGGCGGGAUCUCUGCCCCGGGUGCGUCGCAGCCCCGGACCAAGGCGCCCGCCGGAGGACCAACCUAAAACUCUUUUGUAUACCCCCUCGCGGGUUUUUUAUAUCUGAGCCAUCUCGGCGCCUCUCGUAGGCGUUUCGAAAAUGAAUCAAAACUUUCAACAACGGAUCUCUUGGUUCUGGCAUCGAUGAAGAACGCAGCGAAAUGCGAUAAGUAAUGUGAAUUGCAGAAUUCAGUGAAUCAUCGAAUCUUUGAACGCACAUUGCGCCCGCCAGUAUUCUGGCGGGCAUGCCUGUCCGAGCGUCAUUUCAACCCUCGAACCCCUCCGGGGGGUCGGCGUUGGGGAUCGGCCCUUUACGGGGCCGGCCCCGAAAUACAGUGGCGGUCUCGCCGCAGCCUCUCCUGCGCAGUAGUUUGCACACUCGCAUCGGGAGCGCGGCGCGUCCAUUGCCGUAAAACACCCAACUUUCUGAAAUGUUGACCUCGGAUCAGGUAGGAAUACCCGCUGAACUUAAGCAUAUCAAUAA
rnacentral:rRNA from 1 species